GGCAAGGUAGCUCAGUUGGUUAGAGCACAGCACCCAUAAUGCUGGGGUCGGCGGUUCGACUCCGCCCCUUGCUACCA
rnacentral:tRNA from 1 species